rnacentral:rRNA from 1 species
UACAUAGGGGCGAGCGUUAUCCGGAAUUAUUGGGCGUAAAGGGUACGUAGGCGGGCUUGCAAGUCUGAUUUGAAAGCACAUGGCUUAACCAUGUGAGGUAAUUAGAAACUACGAGUCUAGAGAGUGGUAGAGGUAAAUGGAAUUCCAAGUGGAGCGGUGAAAUGCGUAGAGAUUUGGAGGAACACCAGUGGCGAAGGCGGUUUACUGGGCCACAUCUGACGCUGAUGUACGAAAGCGUGGGGAGCAAACAGGAUUAGAUACCCUGGUAGU